rnacentral:tRNA from 1 species
GUGGCGCUGGCGGAUGCGGCCACCGCGGUCGGGCUGCCGACCCGGCACGGCCUGCUCGAACCCGACGCGAUCCUC